GAUGAACGCUGGCGGCGUGCCUAAUACAUGCAAGUCGAGCGAACAGAUGAGGAGCUUGCUCCUCUGACGUUAGCGGCGGACGGGUGAGUAACACGUGGAUAACCUACCUAUAAGACUGGGAUAACUUCGGGAAACCGGAGCUAAUACCGGAUAAUAUAUUGAACCGCAUGGUUCAAUAGUGAAAGACGGUUUUGCUGUCACUUAUAGAUGGAUCCGCGCCGCAUUAGCUAGUUGGUAAGGUAACGGCUUACCAAGGCAACGAUGCGUAGCCGACCUGAGAGGGUGAUCGGCCACACUGGAACUGAGACACGGUCCAGACUCCUACGGGAGGCAGCAGUAGGGAAUCUUCCGCAAAGGGCGAAAGCCUGACGGAGCAACGCCGCGUGAGUGAUGAAGGUCUUCGGAUCGUAAAACUUUGUUAUUAGGGAAGAACAAAUGUGUAAGUAACUAUGCACGUCUUGACGGUACCUAAUCAGAAAGCCACGGCUAACUACGUG
rnacentral:rRNA from 1 species